rnacentral:rRNA from 1 species
UAGCUAAUCCUGGUCGGACAUCAGGAGGUUAGUGCAAUGGCAUAAGCUAGCUUGACUGCGAGCGUGACGGCGCGAGCAGGUGCGAAAGCAGGUCAUAGUGAUCCGGUGGUUCUGAAUGGAAGGGCCAUCGCUCAACGGAUAAAAGGUACUCCGGGGAUAACAGGCUGAUACCGCCCAAGAGUUCAUAUCGACGGCGGUGUUUGGCACCUCGAUGUCGGCUCAUCACAUCCUGGGGCUGAAGUAGGUCCCAAGGGUAUGGCUGUUCGCCAUUUAAAGUGGUACGCGAGCUGGGUUUAGAACGUCGUGAGACAGUUCGGUCCCUAUCUGCCGUGGGCGCUGGAGAAUUGAGGGGGGCUGCUCCUAGUACGAGAGGACCGGAGUGGACGCAUCACUGGUGUUCGGGUUGUCAUGCCAAUGGCACUGCCCGGUAGCUAAAUGCGGAAGAGAUAAGUGCUGAAAGCAUCUAAGCACGAAACUUGCCCCGAGAUGAGUUCUCCCUGAGACUUUAAGUC